ensembl:lncRNA
GGGGGGCUUUCAUCAAGGUUAGUGUUUCUGUAGGUUGGGGGCUUUCAUCAACGUUAGUGUUUCUGUAGGUUGGGGGCUUUCAUCAAGGUGUUUCUAUAGGUUGGGGGAUUUCAUCAAGGUUAGUGUUUCUGUAGGUUGGGGGCUUUCAUCAAGGUGUUUCUAUAGGUUGGGGGCUUUCAUCAAGGUUAGUGUUUCUAUAGGUUGUGGGCUUUCAUCAAGGUGUUUCUGUGGGUUGGUGGCUUUCAUCAAGGUGUUUCUGUAUGUUGGUGGCUUCCAUCAAGGUGUUUCUGUAGGUUGGGGGCUUUCAUCAAGGUGUUUCUAUAGGUUGGGGGCUUUCAUCAAGGUGUUUCUAUAGGUUCGGGGCUUUCAUCAAGGUGUUUCUAUAGGUUGGGGGCUUUCAUCAAGGUGUUUCUGUAGGUUGGGGGCUUUUAUCAAGGUGUUUCUAUAGGUUGGGGGCUUUCAUCAAGGUGUUUCUGUAGGUUGGGGGCUUUCAUCAAGGUUAGUGUUUCUAUAGGUUGGGGGCUUUCAUCAAGGUGUUUCUGUAGGUUGGGUGCUUUCAUCAAGGUGUUUCUAUAGGUUGGGUGCUUUU